UACGGAGGGUGCGACCGUUAAUCGGAACCACUGGGCGUAAAGCGCGCGUAGGCGGUCUGUUAAGUGGGAUGUGAAAUCCCCGGGCUUAACCUGGGAAUUGCAUUUCAAACUGGCCGACUAGAGUACGGUAGAGGGAGGUAGAAUUUCCUGUGUAGCGGUGAAAUGCGUAGAUAUAGGAAGGAAUACCAGUGGCGAAGGCGGCCUCCUGGAUCGAUACUGACGCUGAGGCGCGAAAGCGUGGGGAGCAAACAGG
rnacentral:rRNA from 1 species